rnacentral:rRNA from 1 species
UACGUAGGGUCCGAGCGUUGUCCGGAAUUACUGGGCGUAAAGAGCUUGUAGGCGGUUCGUCGCGUCGUUUGUGAAAACUCGGGGCUUAACCCCGAGCCUGCAGUGGAUACGGGCAGACUAGAGGUAGGUAGGGGAGAAUGGAAUUCCCGGUGUAGCGGUGAAAUGCGCAGAUAUCGGGAGGAACACCGGUGGCGAAGGCGGUUCUCUGGGCCUUACCUGACGCUGAGGAGCGAAAGCGUGGGGAGCGAACAGG